CAGAUCUUCACUCUAGCACAUAUAACUAGAGUGAAAACAUAUUAAACUCGGUUAAUUCUGAUACAUACACUCAGAAAUUAGCCACUCUCUACUUUCGGGUAAUAUCAAAUCCGAUCUACCUCAAUACAUAUACUUGAGAUUUGGUCACAUCUCCACCUUAGAAUAUACAACCAAGGUGAACCCAACCGCCAUGUCAUUAAACUGAGCACCAAACUUAAACCGACCGCCAUGUCAUUAAACUGAGCAUCAAAACUUCAAUCGACCACCAAGUCGCUAAAUUGAGUAUCUAGUCUUGUAAAAUUUAU
rnacentral:lncRNA from 1 species